UACGUAGGGGGCGAGCGUUGUCCGGAUUUAUUGGGCGUAAAGAGCUCGUAGGCGGCUGUUCGAGUCGGGUGUGAAAUCCUGAGGCUUAACCUUGGGUCUGCAUUCGAUACUGGGCGGCUUGAGUCUGGUAGGGGGAUCUGGAAUUCCUGGUGUAGCGGUGAAAUGCGCAGAUAUCAGGAGGAACACCGAUUGCGAAGGCAGCUCGCUGGGACGUUACUGACGCUGAGACGCGAAAGCGUGGGGAGCAAACAGG
rnacentral:rRNA from 1 species